rnacentral:rRNA from 1 species
UGCGCAGGCGGGGAUGUAAGUGGGUGGUGAAAGCGCCCUGGCUAAACCGGGCGAUGUCCAUUCAGACUGCAUUUCUAGAGGUGGAUAGAGGAACGUGGAAUUCCGGGUGUAGCGGUGAAAUGUGUAGAGAUCCGGAGGAACACCAGUGGUGCAGACGACGUUCUGGGUCCAUACUGACGCUGAGGCACGAAAGCGUGGGGAGCGAACGGGAUUAGAGACCCCGGUAGUCCACGCCGUAAACGAUGUCAACUAGGUGUCCACUUGGCUACGGUCAAGGGGGUGCCGAAGCUAACGCCGUAAGUUGACCGCCUGGGGAGUACGGUCGCAAGGCUAAA